CAUAUACUCGCUUCGUCCGGAAAUACUUGUCUUAGAAAUUGUUGUAUCUAGACUUAUUUUAGUUAUAGAUACAUCCAUUUUAUUCAUUUCUAGGAUAAGUAUUUCCAGACGGAGGGAGUAGAAA
rfam:Triticum aestivum genome assembly, contig: Triticum_aestivum_CS42_TGACv1_scaffold_279236_3DS